UUAAGCGACUAAGCGUACACGGUGGAUGCCCAGGCAGUCAGAGGCGAUGAAGGGCGUGCUAAUCUGCGAUAAGCGUCGGUAAGGUGAUAUGAACCGCAACAACCGACGAUACCCGAAUGGGGAAACCCAGUGCAAUCCGUUGCACUAUCAUGUCAUGAAUACAUAGUGGCAUGAGGCGAACCGGGGGAACUGAAACAUCUAAGUACCCGAGGAAAAGAAAUCAACCGAGAUUCCCCCAGUAGCGGCGAGCGAACGGGGAACAGCCCAGAACCUGAAUCAGUUUGUGCCUUAGUGGAAGCGUCUGGAAAGUCGCGCAGUAAAGGGUGACAGCCCCGUACACAAAAAGGCACUUGCUGUGAGUUCGAUGAGUAGGGCGGGACACGUGACAUCCUGUCUGAAUAUGGGGGACCAUCCUCCAAGGCUAAAUACUCCUGACUGACCGAUAGUGAACCAGUACCGUGAGGGAAAGGCGAAAAGAACCCCGGCGAGGGGAGUGAAACAGAACCUGAAACCGUGUACGUACAAGCAGUGGGAGCACCUUCGUGGUGUGACUGCGUACCUUUUGUAUAAUGGGUCAGCGACUUAUAUUCUGUAGCAAGGUUAACCGUAUAGGGGAGCCGCAGGGAAACCGAGUCUUAACUGGGCGUUAAGUUGCAGGGUAUAGACCCGAAACCCGGUGAUCUAGCCAUGGGCAGGUUGAAGGUUGGGUAACACUAACUGGAGGACCGAACCGACUAAUGUUGAAAAAUUAGCGGAUGACCUGUGGCUGGGGGUGAAAGGCCAAUCAAACCGGGAGAUAGCUGGUUCUCCCCGAAAGCUAUUUAGGUAGCGCCUCGUGAAUUCAUCUCCGGGGUAGAGCACUGUUUCGGCUAGGGGGCCAUCCCGGCUUACCAACCCGAUGCAAACUGCGAAUACCGGAGAAUGUUAUCACGGGAGACACACGGCGGGUGCUAACGUCCGUCGUGAAGAGGGAAACAACCCAGACCGCCAGCUAAGGUCCCAAAGUCAUGGUUAAGUGGGAAACGAUGUGGGAAGGCACAGACAGCCAGGAUGUUGGCUUAGAAGCAGCCAUCAUUUAAAGAAAGCGUAAUAGCUCACUGGUCGAGUCGGCCUGCGCGGAAGAUGUAACGGGGCUAAACCAUGCACCGAAGCUGCGGCAGCGGACGUAUCACCCAAGCAGAUUCACUGAAGUGGAUAACGAUUGACGGAGCGCAGCGACGUCAAUGCGCCAUCAAAGUCGAGUCGACUUCGGGAUACGUCCGUUGGGUAGGGGAGCGUUCUGUAAGCCGUCGAAGGUGUGCUGUGAGGCAUGCUGGAGGUAUCAGAAGUGCGAAUGCUGACAUAAGUAACGAUAAAGCGGGUGAAAAGCCCGCUCGCCGGAAGACCAAGGGUUCCUGUCCAACGUUAAUCGGGGCAGGGUGAGUCGACCCCUAAGGCGAGGCCGAAAGGCGUAGUCGAUGGGAAACGGGUUAAUAUUCCCGUACUGGGUGUUACUGCGAAGGGGGACGGAGAAGGCUAUGUUAGCCGGGCGACGGUUGUCCCGGUUUAAGCGUGCAGGCUUGAGUUCCAGGCAAAUCCGGAACUCUUUAAGGCUGAGGCGUGAUGACGAGGCACCACGGUGCUGAAGUAACAAAUGCCCUGCUUCCAGGAAAAGCCUCUAAGCAUCAGGUAACAUCCAAUCGUACCCCAAACCGACACAGGUGGUCAGGUAGAGAAUACCAAGGCGCUUGAGAGAACUCGGGUGAAGGAACUAGGCAAAAUGGUGCCGUAACUUCGGGAGAAGGCACGCUGGCGCGUAGGUGAAGCGACUUGCUCGUGGAGCUGAAGCCAGUCGAAGAUACCAGCUGGCUGCAACUGUUUAUUAAAAACACAGCACUGUGCAAACACGAAAGUGGACGUAUACGGUGUGACGCCUGCCCGGUGCCGGAAGGUUAAUUGAUGGGGUUAUCCGUAAGGAGAAGCUCUUGAUCGAAGCCCCGGUAAACGGCGGCCGUAACUAUAACGGUCCUAAGGUAGCGAAAUUCCUUGUCGGGUAAGUUCCGACCUGCACGAAUGGCGUAAUGAUGGCCAGGCUGUCUCCACCCGAGACUCAGUGAAAUUGAACUCGCUGUGAAGAUGCAGUGUACCCGCGGCAAGACGGAAAGACCCCGUGAACCUUUACUACAGCUUGACACUGAACAUUGAGCCUUGAUGUGUAGGAUAGGUGGGAGGCUUUGAAGCGUGGACGCCAGUCUGCGUGGAGCCAACCUUGAAAUACCACCCUUUAACGUUUGAUGUUCUAACCUGGCGCCGUAAUCCGGCGUGGGGACAGUGUCUGGUGGGUAGUUUGACUGGGGCGGUCUCCUCCCAAAGAGUAACGGAGGAGCACGAAGGUCAGCUAAUCACGGUCGGACAUCGUGAGGUUAGUGCAAUGGCAUAAGCUGGCUUGACUGCGAGAGUGACGGCUCGAGCAGGUGCGAAAGCAGGUCAUAGUGAUCCGGUGGUUCUGAAUGGAAGGGCCAUCGCUCAACGGAUAAAAGGUACUCCGGGGAUAACAGGCUGAUACCGCCCAAGAGUUCAUAUCGACGGCGGUGUUUGGCACCUCGAUGUCGGCUCAUCACAUCCUGGGGCUGAAGUAGGUCCCAAGGGUACGGCUGUUCGCCGUUUAAAGUGGUACGCGAGCUGGGUUUAGAACGUCGUGAGACAGUUCGGUCCCUAUCUGCCGUGGGCGCUGGAAGAUUGAGAGGGGUUGCUCCUAGUACGAGAGGACCGGAGUGAACGCACCGCUGGUGUUCGGGUUGUCAUGCCAAUGGCAUUGCCCGGUAGCUAAGUGCGGAAAAGAUAAGCGCUGAAAGCAUCUAAGCGCGAAACUUGCCUCGAGAUGAAUCUUCCCUGACUCCUUGAGAGUCCUGAAGGGACGUUGAAGACGACGACGUUGAUAGGCCGGGUGUGUAAGCGCAGCGAUGCGUUGAGCUAACCGGUACUAAUGACCCGUGAGGCUUAACCUU
rnacentral:rRNA from 1 species